rnacentral:tRNA from 1 species
UUAGCAGUAGUAUAAAAAGUAUUUCUUCCUUCCAAGAAGAAGGUCCAAAAAAGUUGGCUGCUAAA